UGGGGAAUAUUGGACAAUGGGCGAAAGCCUGACCCAGCCAUGCCGCGUGGAGGAUGAAGGUCCUCUGGAUUGUAAACUUCUUUUAUCUGGGAAGAAACCCAUGAAUUCUUUCGUGGUUGACGGUACCAGAUGAAUAAGCACCGGCUAACUCCGUGCCAGCAGCCGCGGUAAUACGGAGGGUGCAAGCGUUAUCCGGAUUCACUGGGUUUAAAGGGUGCGUAGGUGGGCAGGUAAGUCAGUGGUGAAAUCCCCGAGCUUAACUCGGGAACUGCCGUUGAUACUAUCUGUCUUGAAUAUCGUGGAGGUAAGCGGAAUAUGUCAUGUAGCGGUGAAAUGCUUAGAUAUGACAUAGAACACCCAUUGCGAAGGCAGCUUACUACACGAUCAUUGACACUGAGGCACGAAAGCGUGGGGAGCAAA
rnacentral:rRNA from 1 species